rnacentral:rRNA from 1 species
CGCUGGCGGCAGGCCUAACACAUGCAAGUCGAGCGGUAGAGAGAAGCUUGCUUCUCUUGAGAGCGGCGGACGGGUGAGUAAAGCCUAGGAAUCUGCCUGGUAGUGGGGGAUAACGUUCGGAAACGGACGCUAAUACCGCAUACGUCCUACGGGAGAAAGCAGGGGACCUUCGGGCCUUGCGCUAUCAGAUGAGCCUAGGUCGGAUUAGCUAGUUGGUGAGGUAAUGGCUCACCAAGGCGACGAUCCGUAACUGGUCUGAGAGGAUGAUCAGUCACACUGGAACUGAGACACGGUCCAGACUCCUACGGGAGGCAGCAGUGGGGAAUAUUGGACAAUGGGCGAAAGCCUGAUCCAGCCAUGCCGCGUGUGUGAAGAAGGUCUUCGGAUUGUAAAGCACUUUAAGUUGGGAGGAAGGGCAUUAACCUAAUACGUUAGUGUUUUGACGUUACCGACAGAAUAAGCACCGGCUAACUCUGUGCCAGCAGCCGCGGUAAUACAGAGGGUGCAAGCGUUAAUCGGAAUUACUGGGCGUAAAGCGCGCGUAGGUGGUUUGUUAAGUUGGAUGUGAAAUCCCCGGGCUCAACCUGGGAACUGCAUUCAAAACUGACUGACUAGAGUAUGGUAGAGGGUGGUGGAAUUUCCUGUGUAGCGGUGAAAUGCGUAGAUAUAGGAAGGAACACCAGUGGCGAAGGCGACCACCUGGACUAAUACUGACACUGAGGUGCGAAAGCGUGGGGAGCAAACAGGAUUAGAUACCCUGGUAGUCCACGCCGUAAACGAUGUCAACUAGCCGUUGGGAGCCUUGAGCUCUUAGUGGCGCAGCUAACGCAUUAAGUUGACCGCCUGGGGAGUACGGCCGCAAGGUUAAAACUCAAAUGAAUUGACGGGGGCCCGCACAAGCGGUGGAGCAUGUGGUUUAAUUCGAA